AGAGUUUGAUCAUGGCUCAGGACGAACGCUGGCGGCGUGCCUAACACCAUGCAAGUCGAACGGAGUGGCCCCGCAAGGGACUGACUUAGUGGCGAACGGGUGAGUAACGCGUGAGCAACCUGCCUUUCAGUGGGGGACAACAGUUGGAAACGACUGCUAAUACCGCAUAAUGCAUUUUGACCGCAUGAUCGAGAUACCAAAGAUUUAUUGCUGAAAGAUGGGCUCGCGUCUGAUUAGAUAGUUGGUGAGGUAACGGCCCACCAAGUCGACGAUCAGUAGCCGGACUGAGAGGUUGAACGGCCACAUUGGGACUGAGAUACGGCCCAGACUCCUACGGGAGGCAGCA
rnacentral:rRNA from 1 species